CCAGCAUUAAACUUCUGCAGCCCCACACACGCCGGCACACUUGCCUCCUUGCUCCCCCAACGGAUGCCUGCUUCAGCACGGGAUGGUUCAGACGGGAAGCUGGGUGAGACAGGAGAGUCUGGAUGAGAUCACACAGCCAGUGGGGAGAGAAACUGGCUUCCCAGCAGUGGUCUCUUCCCCCCGGAGCCUCCACUGCGGCAGCUGAGGAAAGGUCUCUGGAAGCGCCAGUACAGGAGGGGAACAGGAAACUAACAUUCAUCGGGUAAGAAUCAUCAUGCUAGAAGCCUUGACAAGAUUGCCUUAUACAUACAGCAAUUUUAUGAAGUACUAUUCAAACCAACGCCCAUUUAAAGAGGAGGAAAUAGACCCAGAGAAGUUAAUCAACUUGCCAGUGGCGACACAGCACAGUAAGGAUCUACAGGCAUCCAUAAUAUAUCUUUCCCUCCCAUGGCUCUGCAUUGUGCUAUUUCUGUUUUGCUUUUGCCUUUGGUCCUUUUGGCCUUUUAUCAAAA